rnacentral:lncRNA from 1 species
AAGAAGCUUCAAGAGAGGAAGCACAUUUGUGGGAUGACUGGAGAUGGUGUAAACGACGCUCCAGCUUUGAAGAAAGCAGAUAUUGGAAUCGCUGUGGCUGAUGCAACUGAUGCGGCUAGAAGCGCCUCUGACAUUGUGCUAACGGAACCUGGACUAAGCGUGAUAGUGAGUGCCGUUCUUACAAGUCGUGCAAUCUUCCAGAGGAUGAAGAACUACACGAUCUAUGCUGUCUCCAUCACCAUUCGUAUUGUUUUGGGAUUCAUGCUUGUGGCUUUGAUAUGGCGAUUUGAUUUUGCACCUUUCAUGGUUUUGAUUAUCGCAAUCCUUAAUGAUGGAACUAUCAUGACUAUCUCGAAGGACAGAGUUAAACCUUCUCCUGUCCCUGAUUCAUGGAAGCUCAAUGAGAUUUUUGCUACGGGUGUUGUGCUAGGAACCUACAUGGCUCUUACCACAGUUCUCUUUUUCUGGCUAGCUCAUGAUACUAAUUUCUUCAGCGUAAGUAGGAUACAAUAUGAUAUCAAUGCACGUGAGUCAUCUGUUGCUUUCGGUGAGCCAGAGUGUAGACCAAUGGACUAUAACGAUCCUUAUAUGGAGUGGUACCGCAAAAUCACUAGAAGGAUCAUUAGUCCUAUGAACGAGAGACGCCCUGGGCAAUUUCUACCCACUGGUUUUGCUUUCCAAGUGCUUGUAAGUUGUAAUGAUCUUCAUCAUCAUAAGAUUCAUCAGUUUUUUUCUCCUUGCUUUGUACUCAUUAGCCAAUAUAAAUUUGCAGGUUCAGAGAGUUGCAGCCAUUCAUGCUCGAUCUAAGUCUUCGCUUGAAGAGGAACUUACUGUUGACACCGCGAGGCAAACGUUACAAGAUAUCGUUGAUAUGUGUGCAGGCGCCCUUCAACUCAACGCCCCUUUAGGCUCAUUAUCUACUGGUAGGAUUCCUUAAGAACGAUUAGGAUACAAUUCAUUUUCUUAGUGACUUGGUGAUGUGUUCUUUAACUAGUUUUGUGGGGACUUAUCUUUUUUAAAUUUGGUACUAUCUUUAUUAUAGGCUCUGUGUCUCAAGCUCCAAGUUCAGGACCAUUUCGCAUGUCACCUCAACCUACACCUACAAUGAUGUCGCAAAAGCCAUUGUCUAGCGAUAUGGUUUGCUUGCCUUUGAAUGAAAUGGGAAUAGAUGAUGGUCUCUUAGCAGAACCUUCUGAAGGGAUGCCACCUGUUCAGGAUACAGGAUGUGAGCAGUCUUUACCAUCAGUAUCCCAGAAGCCUCUUUUCUGGCCUACGGGAGGCAAGCUUACUUUCAGUUGGAUUUGUGAUGUAAUGUUGGGUUUUGAUUGGUCGUCGAGGAAUCUCCCAGCUUGUGAAUUCUCAAACGUUCUCCCCUUUAACGUCUUGGAUGAGCUAAUUCUCUCUGCCUCCAAGAUCCUGAGGAAAGAGCCGAACUGCGUUAGGAUAGACAGUGACAAAGCAAAGGUGGUUGUGGUGGGAGAUCUUCAUGGGCAGCUACAUGAUUUGCUGUUCCUUAUGCAGGAUGCAGGGUUCCCAAAUGGUGAUCAGUUCUAUGUGUUCAAUGGGAACUAUGUGGACAAUGGAGCAUGGGGUUUGGAAACCUUCUUACUUCUUUUAUCAUGGAAGGUAAGGUUAUAUCAUCCUUCAACUUCUAUUAAAUUAGACCACAUUUUUGAUUGAUAUUUGUGAUUUUCUGCUAGGUGUUUCUACCGGAUAGAGUGUUUGUUCUGCGUGGCAGUCACGAGAGCGAGAGUUGUACAUCAUUGUAUGGAUUCAAAAAUGAAGUAUUAACCAAGUAUGGAGAUAAAGGAGCAAUUGUCUACAAAAAAUGCUUGGAAUGCUUCCAGUUACUCCCUUUGGCAUCUGUGAUUGGUGGGAAGGUAUUUACAGCUCAUGGAGGUCUUUUCCGUGAUGUACCAAGCUUUCUCUCUGAUAAACAAGAACGAAGCAGGAAACGCAAGCGAGCUCAGAAAAAUCAAGAGGAUAACAGUGUUCUUGAGACUGAUAGUAGAUCUGAGUCCUUGCUUCUUGGCUCGUUGAAGGAUUUAUUUAAAGUCAAAAGGCGUGUUAUCAAUCCUUCUGCUGAAGGUUCAAACCUGAUUCCUGGUGACAUUCUUUGGUCAGAUCCAUCAACCGAUAACGGCCUCUUUCUUAACAAAGAGAGUGGCAUCGGUUUGCUGUGGGGUCCUGAUUGCACUGCAAAGUUCCUGCAAGACAAUGAUCUUAAGGUUAGAUCAAUCAGUUUCUGUUAAAACUCAGUCCUCAAAAACAUCGCACUUAGAAGCUUUGAGAAUUUGAUUGAAGAAACUGUUACUUUUUCAGCAUCAUGAUGCGAUUUCUUUUUAUGGCAGUUGAUCAUCAGAGGCAAGGAAGCCCCUCACAAAAGGGCACAACGAGAUGGUCUUCCAUCAAUGAUUGAAGGGUUUUCAAAAGACCAUGAAGGGCUUAUAACUUUGUUCAGUGCUCCUGAUCAUCCUCAGUUUCAGGUAUGCUUUAUUGGAUUUUUGAAUGUGAUAUUUUCAACCUGUAGUAAGCUCUAGCGAUUCAACAAAUGGUUAUGUGAGUAUUUGUUGUCUUGUAUGCAGGAUACAGAGGAGAGACACAACAACAAAGGUGCCUACAUAAUCUUGCAAACUCCCUACUGUGAGGAGCCUGAAAUUCAUGUGUUUGAAGCAGUAUCUCCGAGACCAAAGGUACUUCUACAGCUAAUGACGAGAUUCCUAACUUUUGAUCUCUCUUUAGUUUAUUCUUGAUUUGUUCUGAGUUCUGACAUCCGCAGGCUGAGGCGUACUAUAGAGGCCUGAUUCAUUCAACUGGAACUUUAGUACACAACAAUACUAAUUCUGUAGCUGUUGAUUCACCAUUCUCAGCGCCUGAUGACAAAGACAGUUUAUUAUCAUCUGAGAAUGUAGAAGAUAAGUCCAUGGAUCUUUCUGAGUCGAUGGAAGUUGAUGAAGUUACAACUUUUGGAACUCUAGUAUCUGAUGAUAAAGAUAUGGUUGAUUCUUCAGAGCAGACUAAAGAUUUUUCCAAAGAACAUGACCGUUCUGAGACUGCAGAGAUUAGUACAGAUUUAUUCGAUGCAGCCGGCAAACCGGAAUCUAGACCUCCUAACGUUAUUGACAAGGAACCGCCACUAGCUUGUGAUCUUCAUGUGCUUGAUUCUGGGAAGUCCAUAGAAUCCUGGACAGAGAAGGCAGCAGAUGAACUAAUGGCAGUUGAUGAAAUUGCUGGCGUGUCUGAAUCCACAACUGGAGAAGAAAAUGAUGUAGAAGCCUCCAACUCUACUAAGAUCUCGGAAGAGAGAGCAGAAAAAGAGAGAACUAGCGACUCUCUUGAGUUUUCAAAUAACGUAAGCGAAGAAGAGGCUCCAAGAGUAAAUGACUGCAGCACCACUGGUGACGCAGCAGUGGAAUUAGAAAUCACAUAUGAUGAGAAACCAGAAAGUGCAGUAACUGAAGUCACAGGGAACGAUAUAGCCACCGAUGGUGCUGAGAAGACUGCACUUUCAGCCAGGAAACUCAGUUAUUCAGAACCCCUUGAAGAUAUGGUUGAUUUUAAUAUGGAAGACAUAGCCACCGAUGGUGCUAAUAAUGAUCCGGGGUCUGUGAAUGGUGGGCUCAACACAGACUGUACCAGUUUAUCCAAAUGUCUAACCAGCAAAUCAAGUGGGUCUGAGCCAGCGGUGGAUCAUGAUAACCUUACAAAACCUUCUCGUGACAAGGAUCAUGAGGAGCCUGCAGACAAGCCAGAGAGAGUAGUCAAACUGGUUACCUAUUCUAAGCGCAAGUCAUCUGACAAAAAACAACUUAUUGAUUCUAGUGAAGAUCCUCAGCAGAAGAUCAACGAGGCUGUUGAUUAUAAGACCAAGACUGUUCUUGACAAGUCACACUCGGUUCCAAGAGAUAUGGACUCCUGAAGUCUCGUUCAGCUGGUCUUCUUCCCAAUACAGGUAAAUCCAAUCUCUAUUUUAAACCUACAAGACACUCUUACAGCGGUGUUAAUGUCUGUUUUUCACUUUUGGCGGUUCUGUUUGAUUUGAUUUAGUGAGUCUGGUUGUUACUUAUGGUUAACAGGCUCUGCAACAUUUUAUUACCAACACAGGUGUACGCCAUGACAUUUUUGUCUCACAUGUCUUGAGUUCCUUUUGCAGAUGAUCAGCAGCUAAAUCUCUUCAGGAUGUUUUCUCAAAGACAAUGUACAGUGGCCAUAGUAGCCUAGCUUUUCAAAUCCAUCUUAACUGGAUCCGCUUUGCUAAUUUCAGUUUAGAUGUUAAGAGAGUUUGAUUAGUCGGUAGGAUGGUGAUAUGUGUACACCUGAUAUCUUUUCUCGAAUUUAGCUUUCUCAGUUAAAAUGUAAUUUCUUUUUAUAUUUAAGAAAUAAGCUGUGUUUAUCAUUUGUUGCAGACUCUGAGCUGGAACCGGAUUAUUCUUCUUUUUCUUUUAAAUUACAUGAAUGUUAACUCAUCUUAUACUCAACCCAAACGUGGUGGUCCAAGGGGAUUUAAAACUUAAACUCGCUACAAUCUCAUAUUUGACAGUGAUGGAUUAUGUGAUCGCAUGUUUAUAAUGUAUUAACAGUGACAAUAGAAGCAUUACAGUAUCAGGAAACAUAAGACCAAGAGGAGUUUGCAAGCUUCAGUCUAAAACAAACAAAUAAAGAUGAAAAGGAAUGGGUACAAGGGACUUUUAUGUUUUGCCUUCUGAUGAUUCUUUCAUUUUGUGCGCAGCCAGCUUCCCACUUCUCUUUUCCUUAUGGUGCUAUACCAUGAAGAAGAUUGUUGUAAUUGGUUCAGUGAAAGUUAAAAAGUCAAUGAGAAUCAUAUUUUAGUAGACUUCCUACUAGUAGACUUCUAAUGUUUUAAAAUAGCUUUUUCUGUAAAAUAUUUCAAAAUAGUGUUUUAACCUAAAAUAGUAGCAAACCAAAACACAUAGAUUUUGUAUCUAUAAAUUUAGUUUUAUAUAAACAAAAUAUACAUAUUUAAAUGAAUAGAUGUAAAUCUUACAUUUUUGGGAAAAUGAUUUAAAAAAUUUGAAAGAAAAUACCUAAAAAAUAAGAUAAAAUUAUGAGAAAAAUAUAAGAAAAAAAUUAAAAUCAUAUUUGCGUAGACUUCUGAAGCUUGCUUAAAAGUUAAAGUUAGUAGACUUCAUUUGCAGUGUACUCAAUCCGAAAAAAAAAUAGAUUUGAAAAAUAUAUACAUUAAAAACAUGAAAAUAACUUUAAAUCUAAAAACUUUAUAAAAUAUAAUUUGUAAGAUAAGAUAGUAGUAAAUUAUAGACAUAGAGUUUGAAUAUGUAACUUUUUGUAAAUAUAAAUACAAAAACACACAUUAUAGAUGUAAAUCUUACAUUUUUGGGAGGAAGAGAUAAAAACCAUGGAAGAAAAUACCUGAAAAAUAAAGAUAAAAUUAUGAAAAACAUAAGAUAAAAAUAUUAAAGUCAAUUUCUAAUGAAGUCUCCUUAAAAAUUAAAGCUAGUAGACGAAGUCUACUAUAUCACAUAAUUUUCAGAUCUGAUAAAAUUUGUACACUUGAAAAUGUGAAAAAAAAUAUUUUUUAAAUCUGAAAAAAAAUUAUAAAAUAUAUUUUCUAAGAUAAAUUAGUAGUACAGUAAAUUCAUAGAGUUUGAAUAUGUAACUUUAUUUAAAUAUAAAUACAAAACACACAUUUAAAAUUUAUAAAUGUAAAUCUAUCAUUUUUGGAGGAGAUAAAAACUAUGGAAGAAAAUACCUGCAAAAUAAAGAUAAAAUUAUGAGAAAAAAAAACAUUAUACAAAAAAAAAAAGUCACCCCUAUUUUUGUAGACUUUUUUGUAGACUUCAUUAUAAAAUUAAAGUUACCCCUAUUAGAAGUCUACUAUAUCAAAUAAUUUUCAGAUCUGAAAAAUAUGUACAUUUGAAAUUGUGAAAAAAUAUUUUUAUAUCUGAAAAAAAAAAUCAAAAGUAUAAUUUAUAAGAUAAAAACUAGGAAAGUAAAUGCACAGAGUUUGAAUCUAUAACUUUAUUUGAAUAUAAACAUAAAAAAUACACAUUUAAAAUUUAUAGAUCUAAAACUUACAUUUCUAGAGUAGAAAGUUAUAAUCAUGAAUGAACCUAGUUCAUCUUCACAUUCAAAGAAUUUAGAGAGAAAUGAGAGAGAGUUUUAGAGAGAAUGGAGAGAGUUUUAGAGAGAAGUAAGAGUGAAUUUAUAAAUGUGUGCAUUAAUUUUAGAAAGAUAUUGUGUAAAUUUCAUUUAUAUAGAGAGACAAAAUUGCAACUUGGUUAAAAUUUACGAUAGAGUAGACUUUUUUGAAGUUUACUAAAAUUAAAAUUUUGGAGUAGACUUUAUUGUAAGUCUACUUAGUAGACUUUUUCGAAAUCUACUAUGAUUAUUUCAUUAUUGUUGUUUAUUCUCUAUUGUUUUAAUAAUUUUAAUAUAUGAUUUAUUAAAUUUAUGUAUUUAUUUUUAAUAUUUAAAGUAUAUGAUUUCACAUUUUAAUUCAUAAAGAAAUCAGUUUAAUUUAAAAAUGAUUUUUUUACACAGCAAUUAAAAUAGACUGAAAAGACGUCUACAGUGAAGUAAACUUUAUUGUAAUUCUACCAAACCCUAAACCACAAAACCCAAACCCUAAAUGUUUGCUUGAUAACCAAAAAGUCUCAGUUAUUGUAUCAAAUAUCGAAAUAUACAAAAUAUAAACUACUCAACACUAAUAUGCAAAUUUAAAUCAAGAAAAAAAUUCAAUCCUAAAAAUCUAACCCUUUAAGACAUAACAUGUUAGAACUUUUUGUUGCUAAACCAUAAACAUUGUCUAACACAUGGUUACCAAACCAAUAUAUAUUUUUAAAUGAUUCAAUUGUAUUAAAUUUGAGUUUAAAUACUUCUUAUUGAUUUUUAUAUUUAUGAUUUAUAAUAAAUUUCACACAAAUUAUUUUUAUACAUUUUCAAAAUAAAAUUAUUAUACCAAACUAUGAGGUAGACUUCAGAAUAAGUAUACUGUGUAGACUUUCUUUUUAAUUAAAUAUAGACUUUCGAAUGAUAAAAUCAUAAAAUAACUUAUUAGUUUUUUGUUUGGCAUAAGAAAUAGAUAAUACUUUUAUCAUCUCUUUAGGUUAGUUUUGCAGUUGAUAGAAUAUGAGGUCUAGUUUUGUAUUGCAAAUCAAUUUUAGAUUAUAUUUGGCAAAUUCCCUAAAGGAAUUUGGUGUUCCUAUUGAAGAAUUUCUACACUCUCGAAGUAUUGUUUAUUUUGGGAUACAAUUUAACAUUUUUUAUCAAAGUGAAAUUUUUAAAUUUUAGAUGCAGUAUUUUUAGAAACCUAACUGAAAUUUAGGUAACGUAGACAGCAAAACUUAUGCAAAAACAUAGGUGAACCACAGACAACUUGAUUAAUGGAAGAGGAAAAAUAGUUCCGAGAAAAAAGUUGGAUCUCUGGUUACAGCUUUAAAUGUAACACAACAACGAUUUGUUCAAGUGUAUUCUUGUCUUGUAUUUCUUUUUGUCCUAGGUUUUCUCUUAUACAAGCUUCUUCUUCCUCUGCCUCCCUCUAAUGGCCUCCUCUUGAACUGUCUUCCAUGACCGUCUAAGAGAAAGGCUUUAGAGAAAGGAGAGAAGGAAGAACUUGAUUCUUCCAACGGAUAUAUAUCUUUUUAUAUCUUUCUUUCAUCAUUAUUUACUUUUGUUAGAUCAUCUCUUUUAAGGAGCAAAAAUGGCAUCUGAAAUCUCUUGGGACGAAAUCAAGAAUGAGAACGUGGAUCUUGUAAAAAUUAUUUAACACAUUUCACUUCUAUAUAUACAUAUCUUUACUUAUCUGAUGUAUCUUAUUAAUGACGAAACUGCAAACCUUUUUUUUCUGACAACUGCAGGAGCGGAUCCCUGUGGAAGAAGUGUUUAAGCAACUAAAAUGCACAAAGGAAGGUUUGUCAAGUGAUGAAGGUAAGAAGAGGCUUGAGAUAUUUGGGGCAAACAAGCUUGAGGAGAAAUCAGAAAACAAGUUUUUAAAAUUCUUGGGGUUUAUGUGGAAUCCUCUCUCAUGGGUUAUGGAGUCUGCUGCAAUUAUGGCCAUUGUUUUAGCCAAUGGUGGAGGAAAGCCGCCGGACUGGCAAGAUUUCAUCGGUAUUAUGGUGUUACUUGUUAUCAAUUCCACCAUUAGUUUCAUUGAAGAGAAUAAUGCCGGCAAUGCUGCUGCAGCUCUCAUGGCUAAUCUUGCACCCAAAACUAAGGUAUGCAGUGAUCCAAAUUUUAUAAUACAAAGUUUAAUAUAUAUUCUUAAAAAGGAGGUUUAAUGCAAUGUAGGUGUUGAGAGAUGGAAAAUGGGGAGAGCAAGACGCUUCAAUCCUAGUUCCAGGUGAUUUAAUAAGCGUCAAACUGGGUGACAUUGUCCCUGCUGAUGCUCGUCUCCUCCAAGGAGAUCCUCUGAAAAUUGACCAAUCUGCUCUCACCGGUGAAUCUCUUCCAGUCACCAAACACCCUGGAGAUGAAGUAUUCUCGGGUUCAACUUGCAAACAAGGUGAGAUUGAGGCCGUUGUGAUAGCCACUGGUGUCCACACUUUCUUCGGUAAGGCUGCCCAUCUUGUCGACAGUACCAACAACGUUGGCCACUUCCAAAAGGUAAGAAACUAAUUUCAGAAACGAACAACAGUUAGAUGAUGCAACCGUCAGCCUACAUUCUCACAAACAUAUUUUUUUGUUGGCUUUUGUUUAGGUUUUGACAGCUAUUGGUAACUUCUGUAUUUGCUCAAUUGGAAUUGGGAUGUUGAUUGAGAUCGUAGUAAUGUACCCUAUUCAACACCGCACAUAUAGAGACGGUAUUGAUAAUCUUUUGGUGCUUUUGAUUGGAGGAAUCCCAAUCGCCAUGCCAACAGUUUUGUCGGUAACAAUGGCUAUUGGAUCACAUAGACUCUCUCAACAAGGUGCCAUCACCAAGAGGAUGACUGCGAUUGAAGAAAUGGCUGGAAUGGAUGUUCUCUGCAGUGAUAAGACAGGGACUCUCACUCUUAACAAGCUCUCCGUAGACAAGUCAUUGAUUGAAGUAUUUCCAAGUAACUUGGAUACCGAUGCAGUUGUAUUGAUGGCUGCAAGAGCGUCUAGAAUCGAAAACCAAGAUGCCAUUGAUGCAUCCAUUGUCGGCAUGUUGGGUGAUCCAAAAGAGGUACUUCUUUUUGUGAAACUUGGUUGAUUUAGUCAACUCUUUAUCCUUAUGUUGCAACUAAUCACGAUGUGAUCACUAGGCAAGAGAAGGAAUCAAAGAGGUACAUUUCUUGCCUUUUAACCCUGUCGAUAAACGUACAGCCAUUACAUACAUUGAUGAAAAUGGAGAAUGGCAUCGGAGCAGCAAAGGAGCUCCUGAGCAAGUAAUAGAAACUAAGAUCUAUAUUAGUGAAACUUAUUAUAUGUUUUCUCUUUUACCUAAUACCACUUUUUUUUUAAAGAUCAUUGAACUCUGCAAUCUCCAAGGAGAGGCUAGAAGAAAAGCUCAUGAAGUGAUUGAUGGUUUUGCUGAACGUGGGCUUCGUUCUCUUGGAGUUGCUCAACAAGUAUGUAACAGAAACACUCAUCACUUAAAAAUCGUUUUUACAGUUGUAUUUGUUUUCUUUUACAUUCGUUUGUAUUCAAAUGUAGACUGUACCUGAAAAGAGCAAGGAAAGCGAUGGUAGUCCAUGGGAGUUUAUUGGUCUAUUGCCACUGUUUGAUCCCCCAAGACAUGAUAGUGCAGAAACGAUCAGACGAGCCCUUGAGCUUGGUGUCAACGUUAAAAUGAUUACUGGUGACCAACUUGCCAUUGGAAUAGAGACUGGGCGUAGGCUUGGUAUGGGAACAAAUAUGUACCCAUCCACUUCACUCCUUGGAAAUUCAAAGGAUGAAUCAUUAGUUGGGAUCCCUGUUGAUGAGCUCAUUGAGAAAGCUGAUGGAUUUGCUGGAGUUUUCCCUGGUAAUAUAUAUAAAUUCGAAUGUUUUUUUAACUAGUACACCACACUAUCGCAAACUAUAGAUUAUAUGUUCUAGUCAAAUUUAAAUAUUCAACAAGAAAAAAAAAAUAUAUAUAUAUAUAUAUAUAUAUAAAUUUUUUUCAUUUGGCUUACACAGAGCACAAGUAUGAGAUUGUAAAGAAGCUUCAAGAGAGGAAGCACAUUUGUGGGAUGACUGGAGAUGGCGUAAACGACGCUCCAGCUUUGAAGAAAGCAGAUAUUGGAAUCGCUGUGGCUGAUGCAACUGAUGCGGCAAGAAGCGCCUCUGACAUUGUGCUAACGGAACCUGGACUAAGCGUGAUAGUGAGUGCCGUUCUUACAAGUCGUGCAAUCUUCCAGAGGAUGAAGAACUACACGAUCUAUGCUGUCUCCAUCACCAUUCGUAUUGUUUUGGGAUUCAUGCUUGUGGCUUUGAUAUGGCGAUUUGAUUU